UUUUAAAAGUAUGCUCUUCCUGUAAGUUAUGCUGAAGGAAUCAGUGAAUGAUAAAUAAAGUACCACUCUGACCUGUGUGAGCAGUCCUGAUCAUUUAGGUGGAUGUAGCUGCCAGAGUCUGCUCAGUCUAAUCCACAUUGCCCUCUGAUCUUAGUGUUGCUGUUUGUUGCUACAGUGCACAUUUCCUUUUCUCACCUGGAUAAGAGUCAUGUAGUGUCCUUCACCCUACAGCUUUUCUUCGUGCCUGUUCCAGCUUCCUUCUCAUCUCUGUGUAGCUGCACCUGUGUGUGCUGUUUUGUAGUGACCCUUAAGAAGAGUUCCUCGUAUCAGAAGGUGGAUGUGUGUACAUGCUCACACAUGCUCAUCUACACAGAUUUCUGA
rnacentral:lncRNA from 1 species